UUCAGAAGGUUAUUACCGUAAAAUGGGGCGAAUAGAAACACUUUCCGACAUGUUUGAAUGUGUACAACUAAAACCGUGUGGAUAAAAUCCAAUUUUAUUUGUCUUAAAUAUGGGUCGCGUCUUCCUUUGCUAAGACCCCA